rnacentral:lncRNA from 1 species
CGCGCGCGCGCGCGCGUGCCUGUGUGUGUGUGUUUCUCGUGUCCUCUAAAAGGCUGCAUUGCUCAGCCUUUGAAGCUGGGCGGGAGGGGCUUGGCCCAGGCUGCAAGACACAGAGCUUCCCUUUUCUUUUGUAGUGGCUCUUCCUGCACAGCAGAGGGUAUCUCAAAAGGCUGAUGAAAACCUCAAGAGAGGAAUGGGAAGCCUUCUAAACCAUGCCUGUCUUCCCUGUUAUCAGGCAUGUCCCUUGCCAGUUUGUGGUGCUGAGCUGUCUUCCUCAGCAUUUGCUUUCAUCUUCUCGUUCUCCCUCCCGCCUUCCUAAUCCCCUUUCACAAGUCAAGCCAGGAGCUGCAGUCUCUAAUUUGCAGAGGCGACAGAAUGUGGCAGCCACUAUUCUGUUCUUUGCUUCUAUGAACCCACCUUUUAAGGGAUUAAAGACAGGGUCUUGCUGUCUAGCUAAAGCUGUGCUGUACUCAUGAUCCGUGUAUUUCAGCCUCCCUGGUUCUGGGAUUACAAGCAGGUAUUACUGUUCCUGGCUUUUCUUGUAUCUUUAUAGUUGUUGUAUUUUCUUAGCAUGAUACAAUUUAUUUUUUUCUUCUUUGAUGGGUUCAAUGAACCUUUGCACUUUCCUCCAUUUUCUGUUUUCUCAUGGCUGUCAAAACUUAUGGUAUGAUUUCAAUAUAUUAAUUUUGUGG